rnacentral:piRNA from 1 species
UAUCACUCCAUUGAAAUAUUG